rnacentral:rRNA from 1 species
UCGGCUCAUCACAUCCUGGGGCUGUAGCAGGUCCCAAGGGUUCGGCUGUUCGCCGAUUAAAGUGGUACGUGAGCUGGGUUUAGAACGUCGUGAGACAGUUUGGUCCCUAUCUGCUGUAUAAAAUAAAAAAUUAACGAACUCUUACAUCAGUACGAGAGGACCAGAACGGGGCAAUCACUGAUAUAUAGGUUACUUAGUCAAGUAUUGCCGAAAAGUUACAUUGCAACAAGUUAA